AGCGUACACGGUGGAUGCCCUGGCAGUCAGAGGCGAUGAAGGACGUGCUAAUCUGCGAAAAGCGCCGGCGAGGUGAUAUGAACCCUUGACCCGGCGAUGUCCGAAUGGGGAAACCCAGUGUGUUCCGACACACUAUCGUUAACUGAAUACAUAGGUUAACGAGGCGAACCGGGGGAACUGAAACAUCUAAGUACCCCGAGGAAAAGAAAUCAACCGAGAUUCCCCCAGUAGCGGCGAGCGAACGGGGAGCAGCCCGGAGUCUGAAUCAGCUUGUGUGUUAGUGGAACGGUCUGGAAAGUCCGACGGUACAGGGUGAUAGUCCCGUACACGAAAACACACUUGCUGUGAACUCGAAGAGUAGGGCGGGACACGUGGUAUCCUGUCUGAAUAUGGGGGGACCAUCCUCCAAGGCUAAAUACUCCUGACUGACCGAUAGUGAACCAGUACCGUGAGGGAAAGGCGAAAAGAACCCCGGCGAGGGGAGUGAAAAAGAACCUGAAACCGUGUACGUACAAGCAGUGGGAGCNGUGACUGCGUACCUUUUGUAUAAUGGGUCAGCGACUUAUAUUCUGUAGCAAGGUUAACCGUAUAGGGGAGCCGAAGGGAAACCGAGUCUUAACUGGGCGUUAAGUUGCAGGGUAUAGACCCGAAACCCGGUGAUCUAGCCAUGGGCAGGUUGAAGGUUGGGUAACACUAACUGGAGGACCGAACCGACUAAUGUUGAAAAAUUAGCGGAUGACCUGUGGCUGGGGGUGAAAGGCCAAUCAAACCGGGAGAUAGCUGGUUCUCCCCGAAAGCUAUUUAGGUAGCGCCUCGUGAACUCAUCUUCGGGGGUAGAGCACUGUUUCGGCUAGGGGGCCAUCCCGGCUUACCAACCCGAUGCAAACUACGAAUACCGAAGAAUGUUAUCACGGGAGACACACGGCGGGUGCUAACGUCCGUCGUGAAGAGGGAAACAACCCAGACCGCCAGCUAAGGUCCCAAAGUCAUGGUUAAGUGGGAAACGAUGUGGGAAGGCACAGACAGCCAGGAUGUUGGCUUAGAAGCAGCCAUCAUUUAAAGAAAGCGUAAUAGCUCACUGGUCGAGUCGGCCUGCGCGGAAGAUGUAACGGGGCUAAACCAUGCACCGAAGCUGCGGCAGCGACACUAUGUGUUGUUGGGUAGGGGAGCGUUCUGUAAGCCGUUGAAGGUGUGCUGUGAGGCAUGCUGGAGGUAUCAGAAGUGCGAAUGCUGACAUAAGUAACGAUAAAGCGGGUGAAAAGCCCGCUCGCCGGAAGACCAAGGGUUCCUGUCCAACGUUAAUCGGGGCAGGGUGAGUCGACCCCUAAGGCGAGGCCGAAAGGCGUAGUCGAUGGGAAACAGGUUAAUAUUCCUGUACUUGGUGUUACUGCGAAGGGGGGACGGAGAAGGCUAUGUCAGCCGGGCGACGGUUGUCCCGGUUUAAGCAUGUAGGCGGAGGUUCCAGGUAAAUCCGGUACCUUUUAACGCUGAGGUGUGAUGACGAGGCACUACGGUGCUGAAGUGAUAAAUGCCCUGCUUCCAGGAAAAGCCUCUAAGCAUCAGGUAACACGAAAUCGUACCCCAAACCGACACAGGUGGUCAGGUAGAGAAUACCAAGGCGCUUGAGAGAACUCGGGUGAAGGAACUAGGCAAAAUGGUGCCGUAACUUCGGGAGAAGGCACGCUGAUAGGUAGGUGAAGCCCCUGCGGGCGGAGCUGAAAUCAGUCGAAGAUACCAGCUGGCUGCAACUGUUUAUUAAAAACACAGCACUGUGCAAACACGAAAGUGGACGUAUACGGUGUGACGCCUGCCCGGUGCCGGAAGGUUAAUUGAUGGGGUCAGCGGCAACGCGAAGCUCUUGAUCGAAGCCCCGGUAAACGGCGGCCGUAACUAUAACGGUCCUAAGGUAGCGAAAUUCCUUGUCGGGUAAGUUCCGACCUGCACGAAUGGCGUAAUGAUGGCCAGGCUGUCUCCACCCGAGACUCAGUGAAAUUGAACUCGCUGUGAAGAUGCAGUGUACCCGCGGCAAGACGGAAAGACCCCGUGAACCUUUACUAUAGCUUGACACUGAACACUGGUCCUUGAUGUGUAGGAUAGGUGGGAGGCUUUGAAGCGUGGACGCCAGUCUGCGUGGAGCCAUCCUUGAAAUACCACCCUUUAAUGGCUGGUGUUCUAACGUAGACCCGUAAUCCGGGUUGCGGACAGUGUCUGGUGGGUAGUUUGACUGGGGCGGUCUCCUCCCAAAGAGUAACGGAGGAGCACGAAGGUUGGCUAAUCCUGGUCGGACAUCAGGAGGUUAGUGCAAUGGCAUAAGCCAGCUUGACUGCGAGCGUGACGGCGCGAGCAGGUGCGAAAGCAGGUCAUAGUGAUCCGGUGGUUCUGAAUGGAAGGGCCAUCGCUCAACGGAUAAAAGGUACUCCGGGGAUAACAGGCUGAUACCGCCCAAGAGUUCAUAUCGACGGCGGUGUUUGGCACCUCGAUGUCGGCUCAUCACAUCCUGGGGCUGAAGUAGGUCCCAAGGGUAUGGCUGUUCGCCAUUUAAAGUGGUACGCGAGCUGGGUUUAGAACGUCGUGAGACAGUUCGGUCCCUAUCUGCCGUGGGCGCUGGAGAAUUGAGGGGGGCUGCUCCUAGUACGAGAGGACCGGAGUGGACGCAUCACUGGUGUUCGGGUUGUCAUGCCAAUGGCACUGCCCGGUAGCUAAAUGCGGAAGAGAUAAGUGCUGAAAGCAUCUAAGCACGAAACUUGCCCCGAGAUGAGUUCU
rnacentral:rRNA from 1 species